AAACCAGCACCUCAAGUGGUCAGGAUGAUUAUUGGGCCUAAAGCAUCCGUAGCCGGCUCUGUAAGUUUUCGGUUAAAUCUGUACGCUCAACAUAUGGGCUGCCGGGAAUACUGCAUAGCUAGGGAGUGGGAGAGGUAGACGGUACUCCGUAGGAAGGGGUAAAAUCCUUUGAUCUAUGGAUGACCACCUGUGGCGAAGGCGGUCUACCAGAACACGUCCGACGGUGAGGGAUGAAAGCUGGGGGAGCAAACCGGAUUAGAAACCCCGGUAGUCC
rnacentral:rRNA from 1 species